rnacentral:rRNA from 1 species
AAUGAACGCUGGCGGCAUGCCUUACACAUGCAAGUCGAACGGCAGCAUGACCUAGCUUGCUAGGUUGAUGGCGAGUGGCGAACGGGUGGGUAAUGCAUCGGAACGUGCCUUUUAGUGGGGGAUAACGUAGCGAAAGUUACGCUAAUACCGCAUAUUCUCUGAGGAGGAAAGCAGGGGACCUUCGGGCCUUGCGCUAGAAGAGCGGCCGAUGUCGGAUUAGCUAGUUGGUGAGGUAAAGGCUCACCAAGGCAACGAUCCGUAGCGGGUCUGAGAGGAUGAUCCGCCACACUGGGACUGAGACACGGCCCAGACUCCUACGGGAGGCAGCAGUGGGGAAUUUUGGACAAUGGGCGCAAGCCUGAUCCAGCCAUGCCGCGUGAGUGAAGAAGGCCUUCGGGUUGUAAAGCUCUUUCGGCUGGGAAGAAAUCGCACCCUCUAAUACAGGGUGUGGAUGACGGUACCAGCAUAAGAAGCACCGGCUAACUACGUG